UACGAAGGGGGCUAGCGUUGUUCGGAAUCACUGGGCGUAAAGCGCAUGUAGGCGGAUUGUUAAGUCAGGGGUGAAAUCCUGGAGCUCAACUCCAGAACUGCCUUUGAUACUGGCGAUCUCGAGUCCGGGAGAGGUGAGUGGAACUCCGAGUGUAGAGGUGAAAUUCGUAGAUAUUCGGAAGAACACCAGUGGCGAAGGCGGACUCACUGGCCCGGUACUGACGCUGAGGUGCGAAAGCGUGGGGAGCAAACAGG
rnacentral:rRNA from 1 species